rnacentral:rRNA from 1 species
UACGUAGGGUGCAAGCGUUAAUCGGAAUUACUGGGCGUAAAGCGUGCGCAGGCGGUUCGGAAAGAGAGGUGUGAAAUCCCAGGGCUUAACCUUGGAACUGCACUUCUAACUACCGGGCUAGAGUACGUCAGAGGGGGGUAGAAUUCCACGUGUAGCAGUGAAAUGCGUAGAGAUGUGGAGGAAUACCGAUGGCGAAGGCAGCCCCCUGGGAUGAUACUGACGCUCAUGCACGAAAGCGUGGGGAGCAAGCAGG